UCAACAAUUUACAGAAUCUCAUAUUCCGGAAUGUAACUUAUGUUGUUUGCAAUUUUACAGGCCGGGACGGACGCGGUUUCCUUGACUACAUGUACUCCAGAUGGAUGUGAACAAAAAGCCCUGAACCUCACCACUCUGGAAUGCAACCCAAGAGAGAUGAUUAUAACUCUAAACGAUACGAGUCUAGCCUUGGAAAUACUCAACAGCGGCUACCUUUCCACACACGUGCCUAGCGGUGUUACGUACGCUGUAGCCACCAUUACGUCGUUAAGGGGAAAUGCUUCAUUUAGCAUUGAAUUGAGCGAGAAGGACUGUGGGAAAAUUGAAAGUGG